rnacentral:lncRNA from 12 species
CUCUAGGUCACCCCUGGUUACAGGGAAAAUGACACGAGUCAUGCAUCUCCUGAGCCAGCUCUUACAGAGUGUUGUGCACAGUGAAGCCCCCCCUCCAAUAACAGUCAGUGUAUGCAGAAUGCAUGUUGUCUCACCCCAUUAGUUCCAAGUUUUGAACUCCGAUAUCCCAGAAAAAAAGGUUAGGGCAACUGCAGAAUGUGGCAGUUACAAAAAGCACUUCAAACCAAUACCCACUGGAGGAAGAAAUGCAGACAAGCUUCUGAACUCUAGCCAGUGGGCUGAUUCAAAACAAAGCUGUCUCUGCCCAAGAGAAUUCCUUCCCUGGGGCGGCCUUUCAAUGGUUUGAAGGGUUUUCUGUGGCUGCUUUCUGAGGAGGAGAGGUUGUUUGGGUGUAUGGAAGCACCUCAUCAAGAAGUUUAAAACUCCUGUUUUGGGGAUCCCUCGGUGGCUCAGCGGUUUAGUGCCUGCCUUCAGUCCAGGGCGUGAUCCUGGAGUCGCAGAAUCGAGUCCCACGUCGGGUUCCUUGCAGGGAGCCUGCUUCUCCCUCUGCCUGUAUCUCCACCUCUCUCUCUGAGUGUCUAUCAUGAAUAAAUAAAUAAAUCUUUAAAAUAAAAUAAAACUC